rnacentral:rRNA from 1 species
GACGAACGCUGGCGGCGUGCUUAACACAUGCAAGUCGAACGGAAAGGCUCUGCUUUUGUGGGGUGCUCGAGUGGCGAUCGGGUGAGUAACACGUGAGUAACCUGCCCUUGACUUUGGGAUAACUUCAGGAAACUGGGGCUAAUACCGGAUAGGAGCUCCCGGUGCUUGGUGGGGGUUGGAAAGAUUCGGCGGUUGGGGAUGGAUUCGCGGCUUCUCAGCUUGUCGGUGGGGUAGUGGUUUACGAAGGCAUCGACGGGUAGCCGGCCUGAGAGGAUGACCGGCGACAAUCGCCCUGAGAUACGGCCCAGACGGCUACAGGAGGAAGCAGUGGAGAAUAUUCCACAGUAAGAGCAAGCAAGAUACAGCAACGCUCCGAGCGGGAUGACGGCCUAUGGGUUGUAAACCAAUUUGGCCUGUGAAAACGAGUGCGUGACGGUAAGGAGUAAGAAAGCAACGGCUAACUACGUG